GAUGAACGCUAGCGGCAGGCUUAACACAUGCAAGUCGAGGGGUAUAUUUCUUCGGAGAUAGAGACCGGCGCACGGGUGCGUAACGCGUAUGCAAUCUGCCUUGUACAAAGGAAUAGCCCAGAGAAAUUUGGAUUAAUGCCUUAUAGCAUUACAGGAUGGCAUCAUCCAGUAAUUAAAGAUUCAUCGGUGGAAGAUGAGCA
rnacentral:rRNA from 1 species